UACAGAGGUGGCAAGCGUUGUUCGGAAUUACUGGGCGUAAAGGGCGCGUAGACGGCCUUCUAAGUCAGACGUGAAAUCCCCCGGCUUAACCUGGGAACUGCGUCUGAUACUGGGAGGCUUGAGUAUGGGAGAGGGAUGUAGAAUUCCAGGUGUAGCGGUGAAAUGCGUAGAUAUCUGGAGGAAUACCGGUGGCGAAGGCGGCAUCCUGGACCAUUACUGACGCUGAGGCGCGAAAGCUAGGGGAGCAAACGGG
rnacentral:rRNA from 1 species